CCUACGGGAGGCAGCAGUGGGGAAUAUUGGACAAUGGGGGCAACCCUGAUCCAGCCAUGCCGCGUGUGUGAAGAAGGCCCUCGGGUUGUAAAGCACUUUCAGUGAGGAAGAACGCCUGGUGGUUAAUACCCAUCAGGAAAGACAUCACUCACAUAAGAAGCACCGGCUAACUCCGUGCCAGCAGCCGCGGUAAUACGGAGGGUGCGAGCGUUAAUCGGAAUUACUGGGCGUAAAGCGCGCGUAGGUGGCUUGAUAAGCCGGUUGUGAAAGCCCCGGGCUCAACCUGGGAACGGCAUCCGGAACUGUCAAGCUAGAGUGCAGGAGAGGAAGGUAGAAUUCCCGGUGUAGCGGUGAAAUGCGUAGAGAUCGGGAGGAAUACCAGUGGCGAAGGCGGCCUUCUGGACUGAAACUGACGCUGAGGUGCGAAAGCGUGGGUAGCAAACAGGAUUAGAUACCCCUGUAGUC
rnacentral:rRNA from 1 species